rnacentral:rRNA from 1 species
UACGGAGGGUGCAAGCGUUAUCCGGAUUUACUGGGUUUAAAGGGUGCGUAGGUGGGUAAGUAAGUCAGUGGUGAAAUCUUCGAGCUUAACUCGGAAAACUGCCAUUGAUACUAUUUAUCUUGAAUACUUUGGAGGUAAGCGGAAUAUGUCAUGUAGCGGUGAAAAUGCUUAGAUAUGACAUAGAACACCAAAUUGCGAAAGGCAGCUUACUACACAGUUAUUGACACUGAGGCACGAAAAGCGUGGGGGGAGUCAAAACAG